rnacentral:rRNA from 1 species
CCCUUAGAUGUCCUGGGCCGCACGCGCGCUACACUGAACGGAUCAGCGCGUUUUCCCUUCCCGAGAGGGACGGGUAACCUGCUGAACCCCGUUCGUGGUAGGGAUCGGGGCUUGCAAUUAUUCCCCGUGAACCAGGAAUGCCCAGUAAGUGCAAGUCAUAAGCUUGCGUUGAUUACGUCCCUGCCCUUUGUACACACCGCCCGUCGCUACUACCGAUUGAACGUUUUAGUGAGGUACUCGGACUGAGCCUCAGAAGAUUCACGUCUUUUGUGCUGCUCGGGAAGAUUCCCAAACUUGAGCGUUUAGAGGAAGUAAAANUCGUAGCA